rnacentral:lncRNA from 1 species
AUGGAGGUUCCUGGCUCCUCAGCUCCACCAUUCCGUCUAGGACGCUGGGGCCUGCAUAGGUGGGGAAGAGGCUGCUGGCUCAGGAUGUUCUGGAGGUCUCCAGGGACCUGCUCCCGUCCUCCCACGUGGUCCUGCUGUGUAGAAGAGCCUGGAAAGCCUGCUGGUCUAAAUUGUCAGGCAUCGAAUCUCGGGAGGUCUUGCUGCAGUGCUGCGGUCUUGUGGGAAGAGAACCCCGCUCCUUUGCGACACAGUCCUGAAGCCCGGGAUGAAACCCUUCAGGUAGACUAUCCUUCGCAUGGACAGUGAGAGCGGGGGGAGAUGGGCGCGAGGACUGCCCCAGGGCCCCUCUUCGAGCCUUCCAGUCAGCGGAAAGCUCAAAUCCCGCCGGUUCCAGAAGUCCCCCCUUCGGCAGAUCUCAAGCACCACCAUCCCUCACCUCUGACCCUGGCUCCCUUCCGCACGGUGUAGAGACAGGGUGGCUAUGAGCUGAUCAGCCUCGGGCUGAGUGGGAGAGGUAAGCUCCAAGGAGGUGGGGGCACUCCGUCGGGCAGGGAAGGGACCCGAUGGAUCCAAGAGCCCAGCCGCGAGCUCCUUCCCGCGGCAGGCAACGCUGGCUCCUUAGGGAAAGUGCGGCAGGCCCUGCGCACGCGCGCCGCUCGAGUCGAGCCGCUUUGUUCCAGCGCUACCUGCGGCUCCAUUCACCUCCUUAACCAUACCAGCCUGUGAGCCAAGACACAGCGCUCGCUGAGAUCCCGCCCACUUCCCGCGCUGGGUGGAACUUUCCACUGGCCCCACCUCCCUCCUCCACCCUCCGCCGCCGUCUUCUUCGGCUGCAAUUGGCCAUCUGCCUGGCGCACUCCCGCCUACCACGAAAGUUGAUUGGUACGUUGGGGAGGAGGGGGAGGAGAGUGCGCCCCCUCCCACCAGCUCCUGAGGAAAAGUCACGUGACGCUUCACUCGGAGCCUGUCACCACCCGCUUGCAAAGCUUCUCUUAAAGAGCCCAAUGUCUUCCCAGAGCUAGUCCUUUCUAGGAUUUCUCCAUACCUACCCUCGGAGGGCGGCAAGGCCUUGGGACGUCCUACUCCGCCAGUAGCCCAUGUGCUGAUUCCUCAUCAGUCCUGCUGGGGUGAGACACAGGUUUCUGAGCCUGGGGCCCUCCUUAGGACCCGAAACGGUGACCGCCUAAGCACAAAAGGCCUGGCACAUAGUAGGAGUUCAGUUUCCAUCUGUUGAAUGAACUCUCUGAGAGAAUCAGUGAAUGAGGUGGACAGGAGGAGGGGACUUUGGCUCAGUUUGGUCGUCCCU